rnacentral:rRNA from 1 species
GAAAGCAUGGGGAGCGAACAGGAUUAGAUACCCUGAUAGUCCAUGCCGUAAACGAUGAGUGUUUGCCCUUGGUCUACGCAGAUCAGGGGCCAGCUAACGCGUGAAACACUC